GGGCCUCUGCUAAUGGUGGAGAGAUCAAGGAAGAAAAGAGCAACGUUAAAGUGAGGCUGUACCCACAGAUCAUGCUCAAGCAAAUUCGAACCGUGAGCGCAUUUCUCUUAAACAAUGAACACUUAGAAUAAAAAUUAAAAUUUCCCACAAAUUUCUAAUUUUAAAAUAGUUUCCCAAGAUUUCAGUGGUAUUGUAUAUAUGCCCAUAUAAUUUUUUGGAUUACUAUUCCCACAAGUGUAAGAUGAAAGAGGACCUGCCCUCCAUUCUAUCUACUCCCUCUCUGCAAAGGCCAUUUUGAAGAUCUCAGUUUUACUGAAAGGGGUCUGCCACACAUAACUUCCCUGGUGUACCAGCAACAAGUGUUCAGUGGACCAUGGCAACACAAAGAAUGACGGAGGAGAGAAAAUGCCAUGCAGAAGUGAUAGUCAAGAUGAAGAUGUGGGAGAGGAGCAGCCCCCAGUAUAUAUUCAGUGUGUCCUCUGAAGUAACAACCAUCCCAUCUGGCUGAGAAGUGAUGGACACGGCUCCUUAACCACACUGUACCCUCUGUUCUUGGCACCUCUCUACCAGAAAGAUAUCAACAAAUUGGAUGGAAUUCAGAGAACAGUAAGAAAAAUGAUUAAAGAGAUGGAGGCAGUGACUUAUGAGGAAAGAUGAAAAGGACUAAAUCUAUGUAGCUUGGCAAAGCAACAACUGAGUGACUUCCUAUUAUCCUUCUCAAAGUUAUUGCUGCAGAGGAAAGAAGCAUACAUCUUUUACCCACCAGGAAACCCCCAAAGCAUCUAUUACCAUAAUAGCCAUGGGAAACAGAAGGCACCUCAAAUAAAGGUGGGGAAAAGAAUGAAAGAAAUGGCUUUGGCCUGUGCCUGUUUGACCUCUGAGAGAUACUUUUUGCAAGAAAUUGUUAAGUUUUGGCCCAAAAAGUGGUCGGUCUUUUAUCCUUCCUUGUGGAGGCCAAACUGCAAACCAGGAUGAAGAAACCAUCAGUGGCAGUUUGGGGAGGUGGAGGAGGGACUAUCUAGACUCAGUGAAUCACCAAGGAAACAUGAGGCCU
rnacentral:lncRNA from 1 species